GACGGGGACCCGCACAAGCGUGGAGCAUGUGGUUUAAUUCGAAGAUACGCGAAGAACCUUACCUGGCCUUGACAUUGAUAGAAUCUGGUAGAGAUACUGGAGUGCUAGCUUGCUAGAACUUGAAAACAGGUGCUGCACGGCUGUCGUCAGCUCGUGUCGUGAGAUGUUGGGUUAAGUCCCGCAACGAGCACAACCCUCGUCGUUAGUUGCUAACAGUUAGGCUGAGAACUCUAACGAGACUGCCUUCGUAAGGAGGAGGAAGGUGAGGACGACGUCAAGUCAUCAUGGCCCUUACGGCCAGGGCUACACACGUGCUACAAUGGGGUGUACAGAAAGCUGCAAUAUCGCGAGAUGGAGCAAAUCUCAAAAACACCUCCCAGUUCGGAUUGUUCUCUGCAACUCGAGAACAUGAAGUUGGAAUCGCUAGUAAUCGUAGAUCAGCAUUGCCACGGUGAAUACGUUCCCGGGUCUU
rnacentral:rRNA from 1 species